AAAAAAAAAAAAAAAAAAAGAGGCAGAUUUGGUAUGGCACAACUAGGGCUCACUGCACACCCUCAAUUGUUGAAUUCUUAUCUAGACUUUUGCUUUUUUACUAUUUCAUUUGUUUCAACUUCUAAUAAUUUGAUAUCUUAUUCUUUUUCUUUGAAUUCUAGAGUCCUUUAUCAUUUUAUUUAUGUAUUCAUCUUUCUAUUGCUUUUCUUUAUUUCGUGUUUUCAAUCUUGUCUUGAAUUUCAAAUUUGUUAAAUAUUACAAGUUGGUUACUUUGAGUGAGUUUGGUUAGUUCCUUAAAGAGCUAAAACGAAAAAUUAAAGAGUACAAAAAGGCAAGAAUAUGUGAGCACAUAAGAGGGUAAAAGUCUAAAUUGUGUGAAUCACGAGUGGAGUGACAUUGAUUGAGUGUAAACACGUGAGGGAGAGUUGUGAGGAUAUUUGCUAACAUUCUUUUGCAGGUUUUACAAUUAUGUCACACAAAAAUAGUGAAGAAGAGAAACCAGAUCAGUUCUUCAUAAUGCAAGUUAUUCAACAACAGUAUGAGCAAUUGGCUUUGAUACUUGGAGACAUGAGGAAUCAAAUGCAAAGACAAGGCUAGACUAAAUAGGCAAGAUGCUACUAUAGGUAACUUGCAAAGGGAGAGGCCUAAUGCUAGGAGGCAAGCUAGACACAACAACAACUCUCCCCCUAAAAAGUUCGAAGAUAAGCAGGAUGAUGAAGAUGAGAAUAAUGAUAAUCAGGCUUUGAUCAUAAAUGAGGACAUAUUUUAUCAGAGAAGAGAAAGGCAUGAAACGAGACCAAGGAGAGAUGACAGGGGUAGUGAUAGCAUUAAUCGAAACAUUUGGAGCAUCAAAAUGAAAAUUCCAUCUUUCCAAGGGAAGAAUGAUCCAGAUGUUUACCUUGAGUGGGAACGCAAAGUUGAGCUAGUCUUUGACUGUCACAACUAUUUAGAAGAUAAAAAGGUAAAACUUGCUGCUGUUGAAUUUACUGACUAUGCUCUUGUAUGGUGGAUCAAAUGAUUUUGAGCAAAAGAAGAAACAGAGAGGCCUAUUGACACCUGGGAUGAGAUGAAAGCUGUCAUGAGAAGAAGAUUUGUCUCUAACCAUUAUUACAGAGAAUUGCAUCAAAGGCUGCAAAGAAUCACACAAGGGACAAAGAGUGUGGAAGAAUACCAUAAGGAGAUGGAGAUGGCUAUGAUUCAGGCAAAUGUUGAGGAGGACAGAGAAGCCACAAUGGCUCGAUUCUUAGGUGGUUUAAAUAAAGAAAUGGCUGAUUUAGUUGAGUUGUAGCAUUAUGUGGAGCUAGAGGACAUGGUGCAUAUGGCCAUGAAAAUUGAAAAGCAACUCAGGAGGAAAAGGAUGCCGAGAUAUGGGAGUAGCACAAGUUCGGUUCCUAACAGCUCAUGGAAACCGAAUUGGCCCAAGAAGGAGGAUAAGGUCGUUUCUAAGCCUAAGCAUGAAGAAAGUAAGAGUAAGCCUCAUGGGGAUAACAAAAAUAAAGGUAUGAAUUCUUCCCAAUCUCAAACAAAUAGAGAUACAAAGUGUGUUAGAUGUUUGGGGAUAGGUCAUAUUGCUUCACAAUGCCCCAAUAAAAGGGCAAUGAUCUUAAGGGAUAAUGGAGAUAUAGAGACUGAGAGUGAUGAAGAUAGUGAUUCUAUGCCUCCAUUAGAAGAUGCUACUGAUGUGGAGUAUGCUGUAGAGGGGAGUGCAUUAGUUACAAGGAGAGCAUUGAAUAUACAAGUGAAGGGAGAGGUUGGUGAAGAGGAGCAAAGGGAAAAUAUAUUUCACACUAGAUGCCUCAUUCAGGAUAAAGCAUGUAGUAUGAUAAUAGAUGGAGGUAGUUGUACCAAUGUAGCUAGUACACUAUUGGUUGAGAAAUUGAAGUUGCCUACUUUGAAACAUCCUAGGCCAUACAAGUUACAAUGGUUAAAUGAAUGUGGAGAAGUUAAAGUGACUAAGCAAGCACUAGUUGCUUUUUCCAUUGGUAGAUAUCAUGAUGAGGUUAUAUGUGAUGUGGUGCCUAUGCAUGCUGGUCAUCUGUUGCUUAGUAGACCAUGACGGUUUGAUAGGCAAGCGAUACAUGAUGCUCACAGAAAUCGGUAUUCUUUUGAAAAGGAUGGCCGAAAGAUAACAUUGGCUCCAUUAACUCCUAGACAAGUAUAUGAGGAUCAAGUGAAGUUGAGGAGAUCAAUUGAGAAGGAAAACACUAAUAAGGUUGAGAGUAAAAGUGUAGAAAAAUGAGAGGCCGAGAGUUCUAGUGAGAAGAAGAGAGUGAUUGAGAGUGAAAAUAAAGAGAAAAACAAAGAGAGGAGAGGAGUGAAAAGGUAUUGAGUGAGACUGGAAAGAAAGUGAGUCCAGUGCAAAAGGAGAGCAAAGAGAGAAAAGUGAGCUUAUUUGCAAAAAAAAGAGAUGUUAAGAGUGCAUUCUAUGCUAGAGAGCCAAUGAUUGUACUUAUGUACAAGGAAGCUUAUUUGAAUCUUACUGACCUGAAUACUUUUUUGCCUAGUUCUGCUAUUUCUCUUUUACAGGAGUUUGAAGAUGUCUUUUCUAAUGAUGCCUAAUGAGUUACCACCUAUUAGAGGGAUCGAACAUCAGAUUGAUUUUGUUCAUGGAGUAGUAAUUCCUAAUUGAUCGGCUUACAAAAGUAAUCUUGAGGAGACAAAGGAACUUCAAAGGCAAGUUGAUGAGUUAUUGGCAAAAGGGCAUGUGAAAGAGAGAAUGAGUCCAUGUGCAGUUCUAGUGCUAUUGGUGCCUAAGAAGGAUGGUUCUUGGAGGAUGUGUAUUGACUGUCGAGCUAUCAACAAGAUUACGGUAAAGUAUAGAUAUCUCAUUCCUAGGCUAAAUGACAUGUUAGAUAAAUUGCAUGGUACUUGUGUUUUUUCAAAAAUUCAUUUAAAAAAUGGAUACCACCAGAUUAGGAUGAAAGUGGGAGAUAAGUGGAAAACUGCUUUCAAAACAAAAUAUAGUUUAUAUGAGUGGUUAGUUGUGCCUUUUGGAUUGACUAAUGCACCUAGUACAUUCAUAAGAUUAAUGAACCACAUUUUGCGUGCAUUCAUUGGUAAGUUUGUGGUAGUAUACUUUGAUGAUAUAUUAGUGUACAGUAAAAACAUGGAAGAACAUAUGCGUCAUUUGAGGUGUGUGUUUGAAGUGCUUAGAAAAGAGAAAUUGUAUGCUAAUCUUAAAAAGUGUACUUUUUGCAUGAAAAGAAUUAUGUUUUUGGGUUAUGUGAUUAGUGCAAAAGGUAUCGAGAUGAAUGAAGAGAAGGUGAAAGCUAUCCGUGACUGGCCGAUUCUUACAUCUGUUACUGAGGUACGUAGUUUUCAUGAUUUAUCUAGUUCUUAUAGAAUGAUUGUUAAGGAUUUUAGUACUUUAGCUGCACCCUUGACGGAGAUUGUUAAAAAGAAUGUUGGCUUUACAUGGGGUGAGGAACAAAACCGUGCUUUUAACUUAAUCAAAGAUAAGUUAUGUUCUGCUCCAUUACUGAGUCUUCCUAAUUUCACUAAAACAUUUAAAAUAGAAUGUGAUGCUUCUGGAAUUGGUAUAGGUGCUGUUUUUAUGCAAAAGAGACGUCCCAUUACAUAUUUUAGUGAAAAGCUAAAUAGUGUGGCAUUGAACUACUCAACGUAUGACAGAGUUUUGUGCCCUUGUGUGAGCGUUGGAGACAUGGUAACACUACUUGUGGCCAAAGAAGUUCAUGAUUCAUUCUGACCAUGAGUCAUUGAAACACUUAAAGGGGCAAAACAAGCUCAACCGUAGGCAUGCCAAGUGGGUGGAAUUUGUUGAGACUUUUCCUAUGUUAUCCAGUAUAAGCAAGGUAAGGAAAAUGUAGUUGCUGAUGCAUUGUCACGCAGGUAUGCUCUUAUCUCUACUCUUAAUGCUAAAUUGUUAGGUUUUGAGUAUGUGAAGGAGUUGUAUGCUAGGGAUUCUGAUUUUGCUGUUGUUUAUGAUGCAUGUGAGAAAACUGCUUUUCAAAAGUUUUAUAGGCAUGAUGGGUUUUUAUUUCGUGAGAAUAAAUUAUGUGUGCCUAAUUGCUCUAUGAGGGAGUUACUUGUGUGUAAGUCACAUAGUGGUGGUCUCAUGGGACAUUUUGGGGUUACUAAGACUUUGGAUACAUUGAGAGAACACUUCUUUUGGCCUCAUAUGAAGAGAGAUGGGGAGAAAGCGUGUUCUAGGUGUAUCACAUGUAAGAAAGCAAAGUCUAAGGUCUUACCUCAAGGCUUAUAUACACCUUUGCCUGUACCUAGUGAACCAUGGGUUGAUUUGUCUAUGGACUUUAUUUUGAGGUUACCUAGGUCUAGGAAAGGUAAAGAUUCUAUAUUUUCGGUAGUGGACAGAUUUUCCAAGAUGGCACAUUUUAUUCCUUGCCAUAAAACUGAUGACGCAACAAAUAUUGCUGAUUUAUUCUUU
rnacentral:misc_RNA from 1 species